UGACUGCUGGGAUAAACUACUGAGGACUUAUACUGAAAUGAUGAUUAAGGCCAUGGUAUAUGGGGUUUCGGGAAUGAUUCCUAUAUUUACGAAGUUUAUGGUGCUAAAACAAUACUGAUGUUUCACAAAGUUCUCCCAAGUCACCGCAUCCUUACUCAAACCCGUCUUAAAAACCCAAAAACUUUCAGAAUAACACUGUUUUCUU
rnacentral:lncRNA from 1 species